rnacentral:lncRNA from 1 species
AAUUAAGCACCAAAAUAAUUAAGUACUGAAUUUUUAAAAAUAGGAAUUCACAUGUUCAUACCAAUAGCAAACAGAUAAAAUAAAUAAUAUAUGAGAGCUGCAAAUCUCUUGGUAGAAAAAAAUGCUUAUUGUGUGACUUGCUUCUCCCUUAAGUCAUUUUAAAAAGUCUAAAUUUUUGUAUUUAUUUUGUUUUUUCCCUGUUCAUAAUUUAAAAUAAAAGGUGCUAGCAAACUCCCAGAGUCUAUCUGUGUAAUCAUAAAGCAGUUUAGUAAAGUAAUUCCGUUUCUGUUUCUUAACAAAACCUAAGUGGUACAAUGAAUACCAGUGGCACUUGCAAUCAGGGACUUCUAUCUGAAAUUAAAAUGUGAAAAUAACUUUAAUUUUAAAGUGGAGGAAGGAAUUUCAUAUGAGAAAAUAAAGGAAGUACUACUACUAAAAUGAGCACUACCAGCAAUAAAAAACAAAAAUUCCUCUAACCAUAAGAAAAAAUGUUUUCCAUUUGAUUCUUCCCUAUUUUUCUAUGCAGCCAACCCCUCUCUCCAACUGACUCACACACUUUUUGGAGUACAUUCAACUUUAUUUUAACUGGUUAUAAAAAAUUUCAAGCAUAUAGAAUGUGGAGAUUAAUAAAUCCCCAUGUAUCUAUCAUCCAGUUUCAACAAUUAUCAACAUUUUGCCAACUGUUUCAUCUAUCUCCACUCACCUACUAUAUACUUGUUUACUGGAGUAAAAUCAUCAAAUUUUAAAAUUUCUCCUAUUAUCUCAAAGAUCUACUUUAUGAUGAGGAAUUCCAAGUCUACAUAUUACA